GGAGUAGCCAGGCUCUCGGCACAGGUGGCCCCAAAUCUUAAAAACUCCCUGCUUUUCUGUGGUGUAGAAUCAGGAGUCAGGCAAGAAGUGGUUAAAUGGAAACAUUCUUGCGAAUUGGGAAACAUAAGUUUUCCAGGAUCUCUGGUCCCUUCCCCCAACACAGGCACCAUCUGUCUCCUUCUAUUCAACUCUCCCUACGACGUUUCGCCCACCCUCCACCCUUCCCCACCAUUUGGAAAUGUAGCUGGCUCCCCUCAGGGUCCCUAAAAUUAGGAGCGCUGUGGAUCCGCUUUCCUGGGAGGACUUCCAGAGGGUGUCAGGGAAAACACUUUGUAAAAGUAAUAGUAAUGCCAUUGUUAUUGUUAGCUAAAUUGAGGACUUACUUGUGACAGGCUGUGGCUAGCAGCUUCACAGGCUUUCUUUCCUGUGAUACUUUGAGGUAGGUGUGUUAUGGAUUUGGGAGAAGUGGGGCUAUGAAAAAGAAGAAAGUAAGCAAAGCAAAAUUCCAUCUUGAAAAAUGUUCAAGAGAAUAAAACAAUCAGAGACACAAUGUUUCUUGAGAAAUUAAAAAUGUAGAAUUAGUGGGUGCGGUGGCUCACGCCUGUAAUCCCAGCACUUUGGGAGGGUGAGGCAGACAGAUUACCUGAGGUCAGGAUUUCAGACCAGCCUGGCCAACAUAGUGAACCCCAUCUCUACUAAAAAAUAAUAAUAAUAAAUUAGCUGGGCGUGGUGGUGCACGCCCGUAGUCCCAGCUACUCGGGAGGCUGAGGCAUGAGAAUCACUUCAACCUGGGAGGUGGAGGUUGCAGUGAGCCAAGAUCGCACCACUGCACUCCAGCCUGGGCAACAAAGCGAGACUCUGUCUCAAAUAAAUAAAUAAAUAAAUUUAAAAUGUAGCAUUAAAUACAAAAAGCAAGCUAGCAUGAUUGAGUGAAUGAUCAACUGGCUGUUCACUUCCCCAUCUCCUCUUACAUCUGUGUACUGAGUGGGAAUUUAACCCUUUUUUGCCCUCGGCAUAUGGCAGGAAGCUGGACUGGUCGAAUGAAGCCCAGUUGGGUGUCUUCUCUUGCCUGAGCCCCACGGUCUUCCAGAAGAACCAGCACCCUGUGCUGUAUGGACCAGGGUGUUGCUGAGCCAGAGAGGGAAUCAUGUUUGUGGUCUCAUCUCCUCUUGACAGAAAAGACCCACCAGAGUGAGCCUCGCCUCCAAAUGCCUUCUUCAUAGUUAAUUCCUUCCCUGAGGCCAGGCCUCGGGGCUCAGUGCUUGGCCCUCCUUCAUUCCAUAAAUACCAGGCACCAGAGUCCAGGGACACCAGCCUCAGACUGGCCCUCAACACCCAAAAGUUGGAAUUCCCCAUUCCUUUAUGGGGGAAUUCCCACAGCCCUCUACACUUCCUCUGUUUGGGUCAAGCCUUUACUACAUAAAAACCCACUAUUGAUUAGAGCAGUAGCCCCAAAGCAAAGCCAACCUGGUGCUAGGUUCUUUGAAUACAUGAUCUCAAUCUUCAUAACAACCCUCUGGCAUAGGAAAGUCUAUUUAUUAUACCCAUUUUACAGAUGAGGCUCCAAGAUGCUUUGUUGUUGGCCUGGGAUACAGAGCUCAUAAGACAGACUAGGUCUGACUCUAGUGCAGUGUUCUCAGUUAUUAACCUAUACUUUCUUUUUUUCUUUUUUUGAGAUGGAGUCUCCCCCCAUCCCCCAGGCUGGAGUGCAGUGGCAUGAUCUCGGCUCACUACAACCUCUGCCUCCCAGAUUCAAGCAAUUCUCCUGCCUCAGCUUCCAGAGUAGCUGGGAUUACAGGCCUGCGCCACCACGCCCAGCUAAUUUUUGUAUUUUUCAGUAGAGCUGGAGUUUCACCAUAUUGGCCAGGCUGGUCUCGAACUCCUGACCUCAGGUGAUCCGCCCACCUCAGCCUCCCAAAGUGCUGGGCUUACAGACAUGAGCCACCUUGCCUGGCUGACUUUCUUUCUUUCUUUCUUUUUAUUUUUGAGACGGAGUCUCGCUCUGUCACCCAGAUUGGAGACUUUCUUUCUUUUUUAAAUCACUCUGCAGCCUCAGAACUUCCCCAUGGUUGGGAUGUGGAACAUGACUGAUACUGACAAAUGUUCAUCUCUGUUGAUGUUUGCUUCAUAGUUUUUUGGUUGAGAAGCAAGAGCUCUAGAAUCAGGCUGUUUGGGUCCCAAGCCCACCCGGUUUUCUAGCUGUGUGACCUUGGGCAGCUUGCUUCACUGAAGUCUCAGUCUUUGAUUUGAAAAAAAAUCACAUAACAAUAUGGACUCCUUUGGGCUUGUGGUUAGGGCAAAGCAGGAGGAGAAAUGUGAGGGCUUGGCACUCAGCAGCACGCCUUCAUCUCAGGGGCUGUGGUGCGGUGCAUUCGGAGCACCGUGCCUGGCAGCAGACACACCUCUAUGAAAUGUGGACCAUUUGAAGUAUUUUCUGUUCAAAACACAAAUCCACGUCCUUUCCCCUUCUGAAAAUUAUGCCUGCUUGCUUGCAACAGUCCUCCUAAUUGCUGAUUUUUUUUUUUUUGGCCUUAUUUUUCAACCAAGCCUUUUUACUGGUUGGCAUUGAUUGUGAAGAGAAAACACCUUUUAGACUGCCAAGUCCCACUUUCGUUUUAGUCCAGCCACCCAAACCCUGGCAUUUUCCAAAUGGCUUGCUUCUUUGGACCUUUUGACCUGGCCUGGGAAGCAAGAAAGAGAGACCAGAGCAGGAAUUGACUCCUGAAUUAAGGCCUAGGUCUGUUCGCUCUUUUUACCUCCCAUCCACCCCCAACGAAAGAAUCCCAGGUUAUCUCGCAGAAGCGGCAAGCAGGGUGAGGUAAUAAAACAGAUGACUGCCUGCCCCAUGUGAUGGCGCGUGAAUCAUCCCGGACAUUCUGCGAGGCUGAGGGCAAACGUGAAAGAGAUUAAAGGUAAAACCGGCUCAGCCACAUGAUAGGCUGAAUUGGACGUUACUCUACAGGUGACUGAACUGCAGGAAUCCGAACUGAAGACAAGAAGCCCAGCCCUCUCCUGGCCACCCUCCUGGGGCUGCGUCUGGCUGCCCGCGUGUGGAGUUGAAGGAGACAGGCUUGGGCAGUGUUGGGCAGUGCAGAAGUGACCACAGGCCAAGCCUUUCUAAUGACAAAGGCCACAUCCCGGUGGCCCAGAGGAAUCACCUGAGCCUGAGACAGGCUGUCUUGUUUUUAAAAACGAUGCGCACUUGAACCCUUUUCUCCACUGCAACUGCAGGGAAGAAAGGCCGUUAUCCACACGUGUUUUAGAGUGUUUCAGAGAGCCAGAGUCACAUAUUCCAUGAAGAUGGUAAAGAGGAGAAAUUAAAUAUAAAACAAAGGAACAGAUAUGUUAGCAAGUCCAGUUUCCUGUUCGCAUCUGCAUUCUUCAGGGGAAACUGAGGCUUUGAGAACCUCUGCUGAGAUUUUGCUUCCUGCUCCAUGACUCUACCUCCCUACCUCAUGCCGUCCCUCCCACACAUCCUGGGGAAUGCACAGUUAUGUUCUAUGAUGGAGCCAAUAAUGUCCCCUUUCUUGAGUCAUGCAUUAUUUGAGGUUCAUAAAUGUACUGUGGACUCUUUUUUUCCAAUGAUGGGAAAACACGUCCUAAGCCAGAGAAAAUGAGGGUGGAAGAAACCUUGGUAACACGAGAGCCGAGGCAGAAGAGAUGGUUUUUUAUUUACCUCUCGGUCCUCCGUGCUUAAUUCAGUGCUGGGAAAUCAACUGAAACAAGUCUUGCACAGCCUACUCAUUUUACAAACAGAGAAAUGGAGUUUGUGUGAAUAAUGAUUUACUGCCCUAGUUCCUGCUGGUUCCAUUUCAUAGAUGAGCAAACUGAGAUUCAGAGAGGCAAAGUGACUUUUCUGUAGUCAUGUAGAUAUCAACUUAGCUGCUUCUAGUGAGUUUUUGCUUCUGGACUCCCAGUGUGGGCUUUAGAGUGCCUGUGAAGGAGAGAUUUCAGGGCCAUGGUCUGGUUGGGAAAGGAGGUGGGGUGGCCAGGAGACUCUCCUUAAACUCCUACUUAUGUUUGGGUUGUGCGUCUAUUUGGAGUGGAUGGAGGAGGCCAUGGAGGUUGAUGAGGGCAUGCUAAAACUGGUCACAGCUGAGCUGACAAUGAGAGGGCAGAGUUGAGGUGGGGUUCUCAAUUCUAAGAGGAGGAGAUAGUGCCCUGAUCCCCCAUUGCCUGCCCAGUGCUGUCCACAAGACCCCCCAAGGGGAUUGGUGUAGGGGAUUUCACAGGCUCAGCGGUCUCUGUGGGAAGAGGGGUACUUUUCUCCCUUUGUUGCCUGUCUUUCCUCCCCACUUGUUUCCUUGCUGGUUCUUUUUAUUUAUUUAUUUAUUUAUUUAUUUAUUUAUUUAUUUAUUAUUUUUUUUUUGAGACAGAGUGUCACUCUGUUGCCCAGGCUAGAGUGCAGUGGCGCAAUCUCGGCUCACUGCAACCUCUGCCUCCUUGGUUCAAGCAAUUCUCCUGCCUCAGCCUCCUGAGUAGCUGGGAUUACAGGUGCCCGCCACCAUGCCUAGCUAAUUUUUGUUAUUUUUAGUAGAGUCGAGGUUUCGCCAUGUUGGCCAGGCUGGUCUCAAACUCUUAACUGAGCUGAUUUCUCCUAUGUGAGAGGCUGAGGCUGCCAGGAGAGGUUGAGUCCAUCCUAUUUCUGACUCUCUCAUCAAGGGAUUCUCUGGGGACUGGGAGCUGUUGUGUCUUUCACUGAAGAGGAAAUGAAUUAUGCACCAAAGGAGGAGGUGGAGAUGAAAUCUCAGUUUCAAGGGUGGGGGUGUGGAGAGGAGAGAGCAAGCCCAUGAGCAGAGGGCGGGAGUUCUUGCAAAGCAGUGCUUUCCUCUGUUCCUCUACUCAACAGCAGAGGCGGAGCCCUGGUGGGAGACGGGGGUGGGGGUACAAGUGCAGUCACCAGCAGACUGGCUGAAAGAAGCCUCUCUCGGUAUUUAUAGAGCUUGCAUCGCCAUGGUACCCAGGCGCUUAAAUUAAACUCUAGCCCAACUGCUUGGAGAUGCAUGGAAUGAAAUGCACUUUACCUGUCCACUGUACAUGGUCUCACACCUCAUUCUCAGAACUUCACCACUGCAAAGAUAAGCAAAUGGAGUGAAUUUUACAAAUCACCUGGCAAGAAGGGUAUAGGGUUGGGUUUAUACAACAACCUGUCUCAACAGGGUGGCUGGGCAGAGUAGUAGAAAAUACAUGGGCAGAAAAAGCAAUCCAGAUCUGAAACUUGGCUCUGCAUCUUGGUCAGUGUGUGACUGUCGGCAUGAGACUGCAUCUCUCUGAGCCUCAGUUUCCUCACCUGUAAAAUGAGAUCACCAACAAGAAAAAUGAGAGCAACAAUGCUGCCUCACUAUUGACUUGUGACAACUAUAUGAAAUGAUACAAGUGAAGUGCUUUGCUCAGCUUCUGAAAUGCAGAAGCUCUUUUAAAUAUAGGUCUCCUUCCCUGUUCAGCUGUUAUUCAUUUAUUCCACAAGAACUUUUUUGUCUGCCUAUUGUCUGCCAGACAAGUAUUGAGACAUAAGGGUGAUUUCUGGUCCCGUGGAGCUUACAGUUUAGUAAAGUAACAUGUAAUAAACAAGUCAACACAUGAAAAAGUAAUUGCAAGUUGUUGUUAAUAAUAUGAAGGAAGGAGCGUGCUGUGAAGAAUUUGGUAGGGUGUGGAUUGGUUGAGAAUCUACUUUAGACUGGACCAGAGGAGAAGGCCAUUCUCAGGAGGUAACACUUAAGCAGAAACCUCAAGCAGCCCACAAUGCGAAGAACCAAAGAACAUGCAUUGCAGGGAAAGAGAAUAGCAGGAGCAAAAGCCCUGAAGACAGUAUGUUCAACACACCCAGGGCGCUGUUCCCAUUCUGCUGAAAACCACAGGAGGCUGCUCUUGUUGGGGGCACCCAAGCUAGAAGGUGGUAGCCCUAAAAUGCCACAAGAUUCUCUGCCCCCAAACCCAUGGCUUCCUGUACCACCAUCUCCACCCUGAUCCAGGUGAACAGAGUCCCUGCUCCCCAGCCCUGGCUACUCAG
rnacentral:lncRNA from 1 species